CACGUAGGGCGCAAGCGUUGUCCGGAAUUAUUGGGCGUAAAGAGCUCGUAGGCGGUCUGUUGCGUCUGCUGUGAAAACCCGGGGCUUAACCCCUGGCUUGCAGUGGAUACGGACAGACUAGAGGUAGGUAGGGGAGAAUGGAAUUCCCGGUGUAGCGGUGAAAUGCGCAGAUAUCGGGAGGAACACCGGUGGCGAAGGCGGUUCUCUGGGCCUUACCUGACGCUGAGGAGAGGAAGCGUGGGGAGCGAACAGG
rnacentral:rRNA from 1 species